AAAAAAUUUUGUGCCAAGAAAACAAAACUCAGCUGCAGCACUGGUUUGCCCACCCAGCUUGAAGCCAUUUACUUCCGGUUUCUUUGGCCAGUCUGUAUUUCAAACAAGGUCCAUACUGAAGGCAUUUCUAAUCCUAUUAUUUUACUUUUAUGAACUUGGAGCCGAGGAAAGGCCAUUUUGAAGGAAGGGUUCAAAGGGCAUACCUUUGACCUUCGUGUGAAGGGGAGAAAGGGAAAUGUGGUGAGUUCUCAGGGCAUAAAGUGUAUAUUCAAGAGGCUACUAGAUGCCAUCUCCAGAAAAGAAUCAAGACAUUAGGCCAAGGAUGUUAACUCUACAAAACUUAAGAAAUCUUGUCAAGUGUUUUUUUUUUUUUUCCUCUGAGAUGAAGUCUCGCGCUGUCACCCAGGCUGGAGUGCAAAGGAGCGAUCUUGGCUCACUACAACCUCCGGAGAGGCCUUUUGUUGGCCAUCCAACCUGAAAUCUCCAACCAGUACAUAAAUGAAGGCUCCAACAAGGAAAAUGCUGAGUCUUCCACCUCAUUCACUAUCUAACUCCCCACCAGGCUCAAAUCUAAGAGCAGCACUUCCCAAGGGUGCUCAUGGAGAUGCCAGUUCCAUGCUCAUUAACAGAGGAUCCCAGAAGGCAUCCAAUACAGUAACAGCUGAAUGAACCAACCAGAGGUUAGAACCCUGAGAUGUGAAGUAAUCCACAAGUGAGAAGAUGGGCUCUAGUCCAGGUCUCCCCUACUGUCUGUGUCCUCAGGUAAGUCCCUGUUCCUCUUGUGAUUUCCACUGUGUCU